GUGAUGAGAGUUGGGAAUUGUUCUUUGGGGGUAAAAAAAAAAAAACCUCAAAAUCCACUCAAACCAGAUUAGGAAGAAAGAAAAGAAACCCUGAAGAGAGCUUCACAUUCGCGCUCGCCGUACAGAUUGAGAGAGGGAUGAGGCUUCGCCUUCAGUGCUGCACCAAACUCCAUACUCCAGUUCGCCUUCGCCUUGACGGUUUUGAGGUCUGAGACGUCACCAUUAACCACCAAAGAGAGCUUCACUCCGGCUGUUGGCAACUUCGCGUCUUCGUCGAUCUUGGUCUAAGGCACGGCAGGCCUCCAUCUACCACCACAGGACAUAUUUGGCAGACCGCAAGUACGCAGCCGCCGCACCAGUUAUUCCGCCAAAGAGGAAAAAACUCUAGGCGAGAGACUGCAGAGUGUCGCUGCAGAGAGACCACAGCUCCGAAGGGUUCGUCGAAGGGAAAAACUACGUAAAAAGGAGUCGUCGGAGGCAGAUCAGACUUUGGAAGGGAACGUCGACUCGUCGGAGAGAGACGAGAAAGCUUGGAGGAAUCGUUGGAAGCAGCCGUUGAGUCGUCGGAGAGAGAGGAGGUGCUAGAAUCGUCGGAGAGAGAGCAGAGGUUAUCGUCAAGCAGAAGACUCGCUGGAGGCUUCGUCAGGGAGCAGAACAGAGGAAGCUUCAUGCGAGAGAGGCAGAUGAGUUUUAUUGAUUAUUUGAAGCGUUCCUGAAGCACCUGGUCGAUUUGUGACACUCCUGGCUAUUUUUGCCCUUUGAAUGCUUAUUACCCACUAAGCUUGUGCUAGUUUACAUGUACAGUUUAGUAGAAGUUUGAUCAUUGCUGAUUAUAGUUUGAGUUUAUCAACUGUUAUUUGAAGUUUUGUUCCAAAGAUGGGAACCCAACUCACCAGGCAUGCAGUGUUAAAUACCAAGAUCAAGAGUUCUUAUCAGCUUUACUUGUUCCUUGUUGACAUUGACCAUUUUGCACAUCUUACUUCAAGAAUGGCAAUUAAUUGUUGUAGAGAACCUUGUCUGGGAUUGCAGAGUCGAUGGAUGACUACUAGUAAGCGAGUUCAAGACCGGAGCAAGAAGAAGAGGGUGCAUGAUCUUGAAAUUGCAACUGAGAAGUGGAAAAUUACCUCCAAGAUAUUGUUCCUUAUGGAGGUUCUGAAGGGGGAACCUGAGCAGAUAAUCCCUGUAAGGUCAUUGGAUCAGUGCAGGAGACAGAUUAAUCUUCCAAAACCUCAUAAGAUCUCUGAUUUCCUCAGGAAAUCGCCUAAGCUGUUUGAAUUGUAUAAGGAUCACAAAGGAGUCUUGUGGUGUGGGUUGACCAAGGAAGCUGAGGAUUUGGUACAAGAAGAAAAGAAGAUCCUUGAAGAGAAUUCUGAUAAAGCUGCUGAACACGUUACCAGGUUUUUAAUGAUGUCAAUUGAUAAACGACUACCAUUGGACAAGAUUGCCCAUUUCAGGAGAGAUUUUGCUCUCCCACUUGAUUUCAGAACCACUUGGGUGCAUGAGUACCCACAACAUUUUAGGGUUAUGAAGUCUGAGGAUGAUGUUGAGUAUUUGGAGCUUGUGUCUUGGAAUCCUGAUUGGGCUGUGACUGAGCUAGAGAAGAAGGUGGACAAGGUAAAUGCAUCUACUCCUACCCCAGGGUUGCUUUCGCUCCCUUUCCCCAUGAAGUACCCCCCUGAUUACAAGAAGGUGUAUAGAUACGGAGGAAAGAUUGAUCAUUUUCAGAAGCGGUCGUACUUGUCUCCAUAUGCUGAUGCAUCAGCCCUAGAAGCUGGCUCUCAAGAAUUUGAUAAGAGGGCAGUUGCUGUUAUGCACGAGUUGCUUAGCUUUACUAUUGAGAAAAGGCUCGUUACUGAUCACCUCACACACUUCCGACGGGAGCUUGUGAUGCCCCAAAAGCUUAUGAGACUUCUUCUGAAGCAUUUCGGUAUUUUCUAUGUCUCUGAGAGGGGUAGGAGGUUUAGUGUGUUCUUGACUGAAGCUUAUGAAGGUUCUGAGCUAAUUGAGAAAUGCCCAUCGGUCAUUUGGAAGGAAAAGGUCCAGAGUCUUACUGGCUAUAGAGGGCGAAAGAAGAAAAUUGAAACCUUUAAUGACUUUCCAGACACAGAGGAUACUGAUUUGUUUGACAGUGAUUCUGAGAAUGAAAAUAUUUGCAUGGAACUUGAGCAGGAAGAGACCAUGGGAGGUUUAGAGGACAGUUCACUUAAAAACAACACUGAGAUGGAUAUUGGAGAGAUUCACAAUGUGUACAGCGACAUUGAAACAUCUUGAGGUUGUUGUGAGAUCACUGUGAGAUAGCUGAUACAGUGAUAGCAAGCCAGAUUUGAUAGGCUGCUUCUUCCGGGAGCCUCAUAUCUGCUUUAUGAGUUUGAUUUGAGGGAGGGAUAUAUCUUCAGAAUUACUGCAAUUCUUUGAUUUAUUGAGCUUCAGGUUUGAUUUGAGUUUUUUGUUUGACCUUCAAUCAUUCUUCGGUUUUCUUGGUAUUGUGAUUGGAUGUCAGAGAUUUGCAUUCUCCUGGUAAGUUGGGUAGUUUGUUUGAAAAAUUGCAUGCCGAUAUUGAGUCUUUAAUCUCUUAUAUUGAAGCAUUAAUCAUUUGUUCUUUAUUUCUAUGAUCUUUGAACUACUUGCUGCAAAUCUUACUUGAGCAGUAUUUCAGUAUUUUAGAGUGUACCAACAUUUUCUGGAGUAUAUCACCAAAAUUGUUCCGCACCAGUAAGUUUCUUGCUCUAUAAAAAUUUUACUUGCAUCAAUUUGUCCACAAAUUAUUUGUUAUUUAUAUGUAAUAACGUUUCCAACAAUGUUUGUGGCUUUUAUACUUCUCUUCCGGCUGGAAAUAUUGUACAUUAGGGUCAUAGACUGGGUUAGCUUAUUUGUAAAUAAAAUUUUAUAUUUUUGAAUUGUAAUCCAUGUAAAAAAGAUCAUGUUUAUGCUGCGAAUUUCAUUGAUGGACCAGAAAAUGGAUUGUUUCCUUGACACAAUGAACAGAAUGUAGAUUUUGUUUGUUAGAGGGAAGUUUGGCUCAUAUGAUGUUCAGUGUUUGGCACUAUAAAAUUAUGCGUCAAUCAGGCUGUUAAUUAUGAGCAUUCUUAUGCACCUUUAUUUGAUGUAAUGCAAAUCAGUUGCAAUGGCAAAGGAUUGGUAUCAACCGUGUAAGGAGCCCUUCUUAAUAAUGGGUUUAUGCUAGAAAAUAAACAGGUUAGGUUGAAUGAUUGAACAAAGGGUUGGUAUCUGUCCAUCUUUUUUGGAUUUUGUGGAGAGAUUCUUUUUCAGCUUAUCUCUCUGGUGGCUUUUGGGUGUGCCUUGAUGCCCUUGUGUACUUGUGUUGGUUCCUGUAUGGGCCAUUUGAAUGGUUUAUUUUACCUAUAAACCAAAACAAAAAAAAUAAAAAUUAGUGGCUAAAGCAUGCAAUUCUUGGUGCAAGUACUGUAUUUGCUAACACAAGAUUUUGCACCAAAAGUGAGGGAGGAAUCUCAACAUCUAUGGGGAUUAUACUGGAAAAAUCAAGCAUAGAAAUGGUUUCCCACGUGCACUAACCCUGAAAUGGAUUUAUGUUCUAUUGAACUAGUGCUCUGAACAGUUCAUGUCAAAUAUCAAUUCUGUUCCCAUAUGUAAAUUACAUUCACUGCUUCUCUUUUUAUGUAAAUCAUGGUAUGUCUUUAAAAAUCUUACAUCAUUGCUAAAUCCUCUGAUACCAAUGGCGGAGCUCAAGUUUGGUUCUCUGCCACAAUAACACCAUUCAUAUGUAAAUUUAUAUAUCAUAUAAUUCUGACUAAAGAAAACUGUUUUAUUUGGCUCUUUCAAGAGCUACUAGGAGCAGGGGUGAAACAAGAAAUAGAAAUUGCGAAUGAAAAUGGUAGUUUAGUUUGAUGGGAUGGGUUAGAGGGGAAUUUUGUUGUUAAAAAUAGAAAGUAAUUACAAGGGCAUAUUUGGAUUUCAAAUGACCAUAACAAUUAGAGGGUAAUCACGUUAGAGUUUAAAUUCAGUUUUAUCAUAUUGGGUUUGUUUUAUAGGAGCAGUGACAAGCAAAGAUUUGAUUCUAUUCAGUUUGGUGCAUGCUUAUAGGUGAGACACACACUGCUUUUAUGAACUGUGGCUUAUAUUUGAUAUUGAACUUCAUGAAAAUAGCAAGGACUUGUUGCAUUUUUUAAGUGGUUCUCUUGUAAACCUCUGCAAAAGUAUAUUGACAUUGUUAUUAGACAACUUUCAAUGAUUGGUGCAGAAUUUGAAGUUGUUCAGAAGCUAACCUCAUGCAAGAGGAGCUGCUUUUUCUUUUCCUCGUGAUUUGGGAAUUUCUGGUUUUCAUCUAGCUGUACACCUCUUCUCUACUGCUUCACUUCUAUUAAACAAUAUCUUUCGACUUUCAAAGAAUUCAAUGAAUCUAGAUUCUGUCUUAAUCAUGCACCUGCAUUAUGCUUGAUGGGAAUUGAUCUAAAUGAUUUCUUGGUCUAAAUUGCUGUUUGUUUGCAUAUUCAGCUUCAACAAAUUUUUUAUUCAUAUUCAGAUGCUCGAGGAUGGGUGGGUUAGACUAAUUAGGUUAUCCCAAAAUGAUGGUAUGAUAUUUUUUCUCCCCCUUUGUCUUUUGCCUUUUGGAGGGGAUUGUGUUCUCCCCGGUAUAUGUUCUUACCCUUUGUGCACUAACUUUUGAUUUUUCAAUCUCUGCUUGGGGAAGUCAAAGGUUUCUCUUGUCAAAUUUUUAGCUAGAGUUGUAGACUAUCAGCGGUGAAAAUUCUUGCAAUGUUCAAAGUACAUUCUUCUUUUUCAAGUUGGAGAUUCUAUUAUGUUUAAUUAAUAAUUUAAUAUACAAUAUACAAUUUCCAGUGUUCUUUCCAUUAUUCUUGGAACUAAGGUUUGGGGAGAAGUUUUUGGGGAGGUUUCGUCUCAUUUGGCAGCAGUGGGGACUAGGCAAAUUUCAGCAAGGGAUUCACAGUAUAGGACUGUGGGCUUCAGCUGAGUAUUCACAAAGGGAACAACGUACCAUGCUUGCUCUGAAUUUAUGUUGCAUUGAAGGCUCAUUAAUUGUGUUAUUCUUCGGUUGGGUGUUUGGUUGAACUCCAUAUCAUAUUAUCCGUUUAUAGGCUACAAUUUAUGAAUUAAGUAGAUGAAGGUAGUGACUGACAAAGCUUCUCAAGACGAAACUACUUCAGAAGAUAUACUUUUGUGUAUGUGUGUUCAAGUUUUAUCAUUAUGUUUUAAAUUUCUGUUUUUGGAAGGAAUGUUAGUGGGUUAUCAGUGUAUUUUAUUAAGUUAGGUUUCAAUUAGAACUCUACACAUUUGGAAAUUGGAAUUUUGAAUUCCUUGACUGAUCAUGUAAUUGUUAUUUUGACAUGACAUUUUAUCCGUGAGGCAAGUGUCUUGAUUAUUUUCUCAUUUCAAAA